rnacentral:rRNA from 1 species
GACGAACGCUGGCGGCGUGCUUAACACAUGCAAGUCGAACGGAAAGGCCCUGCUUGUGUGGGGUGCUCGAGUGGCGAACGGGUGAGUAAGACGUGAGUAACCUGCCCUUGACUUUGGGAUAACUUCAGGAAACUGGGGCUAAUACCGGAUAGGAGCUCCUGCUGCAUGGUGGGGGGUGGAAAGUUUCGGCGGUUGGGGAUGGACUCGCGGCUUAUCAGCUUGUUGGUGGGGUAGUGGCUUACCAAGGCUUUGACGGGUAGCCGGCCUGAGAGGGUGACCGGCCACAUUGGGCCUGAGAUACGGACCAGACUCCUACGGGAGGCAGCAGUGGGGAAUAUUGCACAAUGGGCGGAAGCCUGAUGCAGCAACGCCGCGUGCGGGAUGACGGCCUUCGGGUUGUAAACCGCUUUAGCCUGUGACGAAGCGUGAGUGACGGUAAUGGGUAAAGAAGCACCGGCUAACUACGUG